ensembl:lncRNA
UUUUUUUUUUUUUUUUUGAGAUGGAGUCUUGCUCUGUCUUCCAGGCUGGAGUGUGGUGGUGGAAUCUCAGCUCACUGCAAGCUCUGCCUCCUGGGUUCACGCCAUUCUCCUGCCUCAGCCUCCCCAGUAGCUGGGACUACAGACGCCCACCACCACACCUGGCUAAUUUUUUGUAUUUUUAAUAGAGACAGUGUUUCACCAUGUUAGCCAGGAUGAUCUCAAUCUCCUGACCUCGUGAUCCGCCUGCCUCAGCCUCCCAAAGUGCUGGGAGGGAGGGCUCUUAAUGUUUUAUGUAUGUAUGUAUUUUUGAGACAGGGUGUCACUCUGUCACCCAGGCUGGAGUGCAGUGGCACAAUCACAGCUCACUGCAGCCUUGACCUCCCAAGCUCAAAUGAUCCUCCCACCUCAGCCUCCCCAAUAGCUAGGGCUACAGGGCACGCCACCAUGCCUGGCUAAUUUUUAUUAUUUUUUUGUAAAGACAGCAUCUCACUAUAUUGCCCAGGCUGGUCUCAGACUCCUAGGCUCAAGCAGUCCUCCUAUCUCAGCCUCCCAAAGUGCUGGAAUUAUAGGUGUGAGCCACUGUGCCUGGCCCUUAAUAUUUUAUUUUUAAUGGAUAAUGAUUAACCUGUUUGUACCUUACCUAGAGUGGUAGCAUGUGGCUCACAAGACAACACAGUAGUGCCUGGAGUUAAGAACUCAAACUGCUUCUAGCUGAGAACUUCACAGGGAAUGUUAGGUUCAAGUCCCAGCUCCUCCCUUUCCAGCUGAGUAACCUUGGAAGAAAUCUCCAAUUUACUUCCCAAGGCAAUUGGAAAGACUAAAACGUAGUUUGAACAGGAUAAAGCAAGUGCCACACAAUCAGCAGAUGUUAGUGAUGGACAGGGGCUUCCUGGAGAUGAAAAAGGUGCAAAGAACUGGCUUUGGUGGAAUGUCAAGCACAUGCAGGCCAGAGGAAGAGCUGCAUUUGGAGGUAGGGGGUCUUCCCAGUGAGCUGAAAAAUUAAGUCCUGGAGGACCCAGGUUUGACAGUCUCACAAAAAGCUGAUUUGGGGCUUGGUCAAAGCUCCAUCAGUCCUAAAGGCAAGGGGCCCUAUGGAGGAAUAGAGGGAAGAAUUCUUGAUGAAACAAAGCGUGCCUUCAGGAAAAGCUGUAUCUGGAAAUAUGCCAAGUACUUACAUGUUUUAUAGCAGCUCAUUUACAAUUAUAACUCUGCAAAGCAGGAGUCAUUAUACCCAUUUUGUAGAUGAGGAAACUGAAGCUCAGAGGCAUGGUAACCUGCUCAGGGAUGCACACAAUCCUUUCAUCUGGCAGUGGCAGGAUUCCAGCCCAGAGAAGUUGGUUCCAAAGCCCAGGAUCUCCCCCUAGAGUGCAUUUCCCCUCCCUGACAGAGCUUCCAGGUAACUUCUGAGCAAUAUUCAUUUUUCUCCACUGCAGUCUAGACCAGCAGGAAGCAUUGUCACAAAGUCUUGGAGUUGAGGUCUUGAGCUACUAGUGUGCUGGGUUUUCCUUCCUAGCUUGAGCCCCGCCUCAGUUGUGCAGUAUUUACUGUCUGUUAAGCAUCAGUGCACAGCUGCUCAUCCCAGCUCACAGGUAUGAAAUUUUCACCUCAUAGAAUCAUGUACACGUUUUUGAACACCUCAACACCUGGCACAGUGUCCAGUACAAUGUAGG